GGCCAGGUAGCUUAGCGGUCAAAGCACUCUUACGUUUAGGAAGAAUAUACGUUGGUUCAAACCCGACCCUGGCCC